rnacentral:rRNA from 1 species
UCCGUAGGUGAACCUGCGGAAGGAUCAUUACCGAGUGCGGGCUGCCUCCGGGCGGUACCUCCCACCCGUGACUACCUAACACUGUUGCUUCGGCGGGGAGCCCUCUCGGGGGCGAGCCGCCGGGGACUACUGAACUUCAUGCCUGAGAGUGAUGCAGUCUGAGUCUGAAUAUAAAAUCAGUCAAAACUUUCAACAAUGGAUCUCUUGGUUCCGGCAUCGAUGAAGAACGCAGCGAACUGCGAUAAGUAAUGUGAAUUGCAGAAUUCAGUGAAUCAUCGAGUCUUUGAACGCACAUUGCGCCCCCUGGCAUUCCGGGGGGCAUGCCUGUCCGAGCGUCAUUGCUGCCCAUCAAGCCCGGCUUGUGUGUUGGGUCGUCGUCCCCCCCGGGGGACGGGCCCAAAAGGCAGCGGCGGCACCGUGUCCGGUCCUCGAGCGUAUGGGGCUUUGUCACCCGCUCGAUUAGGGCCGGCCGGGCGCCAGCCGACGUCUCCAACCAUUUUCUUCAGGUUGACCUCGGAUCAGGUAGGGAUACCCGCUGAACUUAAGCAUAUCAAUAAGCGGAGGA